rnacentral:lncRNA from 1 species
UGGCGUGUCAUUUUCGAAUGUGGGUUAGUACUUGACAUGCCAAAGGGGACACGAUGACCCUGGGGGCUUUGGGAUUUUCGCUUCGGCUGAAAUCUCUGCAGUACUUCCUGCCAUGUCUGUAUGUACAGCCAGCCCUUCACCAGCGAUGUGAAUGUACCCUUGUGUUUCUUACAUGAGAAAUUCCAGUCAAACAGGUAGUGCGUUGCAAAAGUGGCACAGAGACUCUAGAGAAAAAAGAUGUUUCUUCCCCAGAUCACUUGGUAGCUUUUCCUUCCUUUGAAAAUACUGAACCAUCCGUGGACACCCAGCUGGCGUGCCUCAGAGGACCUGCCGCUCCCCCAAAUGAUUUCAUCCUUCUCCAAAUGACUUCUGGUGGACAGCAACUGUGGCCGCCACCGCUACGCACCAGCCAGGAUCCAAGGUCUCGAACCUGGGGCUGGGGUCCCGGUGCGCACAUCCGUUUCCUGUCUUAUCUUUGGGGCCUGCCCAGAGUGCCCGGAGUCUCACCCCUCUUUCCCCCCAGGUCUACAAUAUCCGUCCGCAGCCCCUGCCUUGUGCUCCGGAAGUGCAGCGUGGAGCACUCAGUUAUUUCAUCCACCUGCACGGAAACGACGCCAUCAUCCCGGAAGAGAGCUGCGCUUCACUCCACUCCUGCUUUCCCUGAAGAUACAAGUGGUUUCACCAGUCUGCACUCUCACCAAAAAUGA